ensembl:lncRNA
CUUGACAAUCCGGUGUUUCUAUGUCCAAAGGUUAUAUUUCAACUUAUGUGAUGUAUAUAAAGUGUAAUAUUGGGAUGCAAACUCAAAAUGGAAUACAUUUCAACUGACAUGGUGCAGACGUCAUCUUUUUGUUAAACCCACAAAACUAUGUGUGUGAGAUGUAUACUUUUGUUUCAAAGUAGAUUUGUUUCAGACUACCCAGAAUCCCUCUGGCCCCGAUUUAGACCACUGCAGUAAAUGUAAUCCAAAAAUUCCAACAUGUGGCCUCAAAUACAAUAUUGGAUGCAUGCAAUCCUUUUUUUUUUGUGAGAGUUUUUUUUGUUGUUGUUGACAAACAGUGCUAUUCAGGGCCAAUAUUGGAUGCAUGCAAUCCUUUUGUUUGUGAGAGUUUUGUUGUUGUUGACAAACAGUGCUAUUCAGGGCCAAUAUUGGCAGGGAAAGUAUGACAAAACAUUGGGUGGAUGUAUGAAAAAAUAGCUUAGUGGACUUAAUGUGUUGUGAAAUCUGUUAUGAAUGUAUUGUAAUGUUUUUAACAUGGUAUAACUGCCUUUAUUUCGCUCGAACCCAGGAUCCGUAAUAAAUACAAAUACAAAAUGGUGUCAUUGUUGGUAUCCUUGUUGAAUGUAAUGAAAAUUGUUAAACAAGAUGUGUUUUUGGACACACAACUAUGACAAGAAUGGACAAAACACAAAACGUGUGACAUUUGAUAGAGAGAAAACUACGAGGAGCAUAAAAAUAAUAACUAUUUGUAACAACUCAUUGCUGAAGGUCUUAGGGCCACAGCUGAGGUGUUAUAACCACUCAUUGCUGAAUGUCUUAGGGCCACGGCUGAGGUGUUAUAACCACUCAUUGCUGAAUGUCUUAGGGCCACAGCUGAAGUGUUAUAACCACUCAUUGCUGAAUGUCUUAGGGCCA